UACGUAGGGGGCAAGCGUUGUCUGGAAUCAUUGGGCGUAAAGAGCGUGUAGGCGGCCCGGUAAGUCCGCCGUGAAAGUCCAGGGCUCAACCCUGGAAUGCCGGUGGAAACUGCCGGGCUGGAGUCCGGAAGAGGCGAGUGGAAUUCCUGGUGUAGCGGUGAAAUGCGCAGAUAUUAGGAGGAACACCAAUGGCGAAGGCAGCUCGCUGGGACGGUACUGACGCUGAGACGCGAAAGCGUGGGGAGCAAACAGG
rnacentral:rRNA from 1 species